rnacentral:rRNA from 1 species
AUGGGUAACACGUAUCCAACCUGCCGUCUACUCUUGGACAGCCUUCUGAAAGGAAGAUUAAUACAAGAUGGCAUCAUGAGUCCGCAUGUUCACAUGAUUAAAGGUAUUCCGGUAGACGAUGGGGAUGCGUUCCAUUAGAUAGUAGGCGGGGUAACGGCCCACCAAAGCGACGAUGGAUAGGGGUUCUGAGAGGAAGGUCCCCCACAUUGGAACUGAGACACGGUCCAA